UACGUAGGGUGCAGGCGUUAAUCGGAAUUACUGGGCGUAAAGCGUGCGCAGGCGGUUUUGUAAGUCUGAUGUGAAAUCCCCGGGCUCAACCUGGGAAUUGCAUUGGAGACUGCAAGGCUAGAGUGUGUCAGAGGGGGGUAGAAUUCCACGUGUAGCAGUGAAAUGCGUAGAUAUGUGGGAGGAACACCGAUGGCGCAAGGCAGCC
rnacentral:rRNA from 1 species